GCCCGCCUAGCUCAAUCGGAUAGAGCGUCAGACUCUUAUAACACGGAUCUGAAGGCUGCGAGUUCGACCCUCGCGGUGGGCU